rnacentral:lncRNA from 1 species
AAAUGUGAACAGUGUGGGAAAACAUUUUCUACCCUUUCAUACCUCUCUUGGCACAAGUUGCGUCAUUCUGGGGAGAAACUGUACAAAUGUGAAUAAUGUGGGAAAAUGUUUUACUCUACUUUAGACCUUAAAAAACACCAAAAGAUUCAUGCCUAUAAAUGUGGGGAAUGCCACUCUGGCUUUCCUAAUUACUCAGCCCUGACUGCACAUCAGAGAGUCCAUACUGGAGAGAUAGCUCACAUAUGUAAACAAUGUGGGAAAACCUUUUCUAGACUUGAUAGCCUCAAUCAGCACCAGAUUGUUCAUACUGGAGAGAAACCCUAUAAAUGUGGAAAAUGUGGCAAAUGUUUUUUCCGAUCUUGAUCCCUUAAAAGACAUCAAGGAAUUCAUUUUUUUCUUUUUUUGGUUCUUUUUUUCGGGGCUGGGGACCGAACCCAGGGCCUUGCGCUUCCUAGGUAAGCGCUCUACCACUGAGCUAAAUCCCCAGCCCCAAGGAAUUCAUUCUUAAUAGAAAUUUUAUAAGUACUAUGUGAUAAAAAUCUUGCUAAAUAUUCAGACCUUACCCAAGACAAAUGAAUCCAUUAAGUAGAGAAGCCAUGUGCAUGUGAAGAAUGCUUAGUGCUUUAACAUGAUGUCAACACGUUCUACCAUCAGUAAUGUUCAUUCUGCAGAGAAACUUGCCCAACUGUGAAGGGAGUGACAGGCUUUUAGUGUUGCUUCAUAUCUUAAAUCACAAUGAUCUUUAUCCUGAACAUCAGUGCUAUCAGGUGAAGGGUGUGGUGAAGGCAUUAGUUAUCAUUCAGUCCUAGUUAAACCUCAAUAAUUCAUUUCUGAGAGAAACCCUACUUAUAUGCAGAAAAGGACCAAGGCUUAGAUAUUCUUUAUGUCUACAUAAGCAUGAAUGCCCAGCAAUAUCUGAAUGUGUGCUUUCCUGGAUGAGAGUACCUUUUGCAAAUGUCCUGGGGCAUUUUCUUGACUGUUAACUAAUGUUGUAGUGUCCAGUCAGGACAAGCAGCACCACCCUGGGGAAGUGUUCUUGGGUUACAUAAGGAUUUUAGGUGAGCAGGAGAGUAAGUAACAUGUCAGGAAACAUGGUUUCUACUUCACUUGCUGCCCUUGCUUCCCUGGAAGAGAAACAGUGACUGUGAUGGUUUGCAUAUGCUUGGCCCAGGGAGUGGCACUAUUAGAAGGUGUGGCCUUGUUGAAAGAAGUGUGUCACUGUGUGGGUGGGCUUGGAGACCCUUCUCCUAGCUGCCUGAGGAUACUCAGUAUGUUCCUGACUUCCUUCAGGUGAAGAUGUAGAACUUAGCUCCUCCUGCACCAUGCCCACCUGGGUGCUGCCAUGCUCCCACCUUGAUGAUAAUGGACUGAACCUCUGAACCUGUAAGCCAGCCCCAAUUAAAUAUUGUUCUUUAUAAAAUUUGCAUUGAUCAUGGUGUCUGUUUAUAGAAAUAAAACCCUAAGACAGUGACCUUUAUGUUGAAAUAAAAUAUUUGCUCUGC